CUCUAAUCGGGUCGGUCUCACUCCCGACGAGAUGAUGCGCCUCCCUACCGGCCCCAAGGAGCGCUCUGCCGAAGAUAUGCAGUACGGUCGCCUAGGUGGCGGGUUUUCCUCCUAUGGUCGCUCAGGUCCGAAUCCGGGUCGGGGCGGGGACGGAGAGGGCGGAGACGGGUCAUGGGGUGGUGGUGGAAGAAGAUCCUACGGUGGAUUCGACGACGACCGGAGGGGCCCGCCUUCUAGGGUUUCUGAUUUCGAUCAGCCGUCAAGGGCGGACGAGGUUGACAAUUGGGCAAUGACUAAAAAAUCUCUUCCUUCUGAAGAUUCGAGUAGGCAGAGCCGGUAUAGCUCGCUCGGU
rnacentral:lncRNA from 1 species